CCGCUUUUUGUUUUGCCACUUUUAAUCUGGAACGACGUCGUUCCGUCAAUUCCCACCAAUCAUAUCUCCCCUUUCUUUUCUUUUUCUUUUUCUUUCAGCAGAUGCACGAUCGACCUGCUUAUGUUUGUUUUCGAUUUUCUUUUAUCCUCUCUAAUUAUCCGUCUACAAUUCUUGACCUGCCCUCACCAUCAUCAAUAACUCUUUCUUCUCCCCACUCGGACAACAUCUCCCCUCGCAUCUCUCUCCGACGACUCCGCCGCCGUCUCUCUCAUAAGCUCAUGCACAACCGCCGCCAACGCGCUGCAAGAGGGGCUCGGUCAUUCCGACGUCGCCGGAAAUCAACGCCGCCUCUUCUUCCACCUACGCGGAACCGGUUCGGGAUCCCCCGUGGCCGGGGAGUCGAACAGAGAGACAUCGUAUACUGAAGAACAGGGACUAAUUUACAAUUAAUCUUUGGCUAUGAGCCGCAUGCUGAAGAACAUGUAGAGGUUAUUCUAUAGAGGUAAUUUUCAAGAUUCAAGAUGGAGAUUUCUCAGGGAGCUUAAAGAUAAAGUUGAAGAAGAGAUAUAUUGUUGCUCACAAGGGUAGAGGUGAAAGCAUCUGGUUUUCGAUUUCACCUUUUUCUAUUUUUUCACCGAACUGUUUGUUAGGUUAUUCGUUGAUGAUGAACUGUAUUAUACUAAUCAUAAUCGACAUUUAUCUUAGACCUGAAAAAACAGAGCUCACGUGAAUACUCUGCACAGGUGAUAAAAUUAGCAAAUAAUUUAGUCAAAGCUAUUAUCUAACCCUUUACUGGGAAUGUAAGGAACAUAAGUUUAUCCAAUGAAGAAGGAAAUUAAAAUUUGAAUGGCACAUAAACUAAAGUAUAUGCUGAUCUUCAUUUUCUAG